GAUGAACGCUAGCUACAGGCUUAACACAUGCAAGUCGAGGGGCAGCAUUGGAGUAGCAAUACUUCAGAUGGCGACCGGCGCACGGGUGAGUAACACGUAUCCAACCUGCCGCUUACUUGGGGAUAGCCUUUCGAAAGAAAGAUUAAUACCCGAUGGUAUAAAGAGUUAGCAUGUUCUCUUUAUUAAAGAAUUUCGGUAAGCGCUGGGGAUGCGUUCCGUUAGAUUGGUGGCGGGGUAACGGCCCACCAAGUCUACGAUGGAUAGGGGUUCUGAGAGGAAGGUCCCCCACAGUGGAACUGAGACACGGUCCAAACUCCUACGGGAGGCAGCAGUGAGGAAUAUUGGUCAAUGGGCGAGAGCCUGAACCAGCCAAGUAGCGUGAAGGAUGACUGCCCUAUGGGUUGUAAACUUCUUUUAUAAGGGAAUAAAGUGAGGGACGUGUCCCUUUUUGUAUGUACCUUAUGAAUAAGGAUCGGCUAACUCCGUGCCAGCCGCCGCUGUAAGAC
rnacentral:rRNA from 1 species